rnacentral:rRNA from 1 species
AACGUAGGAGACAAACGUUAUCCGGAGUUACUGGGCGUAAAGGGCGUGUAGGUGGUUUCGUAAGUCUGGCGUGAAAUUUUUCGGCUUAACCGGGAAAGGUCGUCGGAUACUGCAGAACUAGAGGACGGUAGAGGCGUGUGGAAUUCCUGGUGUAGCGGUGGAAUGCGCAGAUAUCAGGAGGAACACCGGUGGCGAAGGCGGGUCUCUGGGCAGUAACUGACGCUGAGGAGCGAAAGCGUGGGGAGCGAACAGG